CUACGGGUUGCUGCAGUGGGGAAUAUUGGACAAUGGGGGAAACCCUGAUCCAGCAAUGCCGCGUGUGUGAAGAAGGCCUGCGGGUUGUAAAGCACUUUCGGUUGGGAGGACUGCUUCUAGCACUAAUAUUGUUGGAAGUUGACGUUACCUUCAGAAGAAGCACCGGCUAACUCCGUGCCAGCAGCCGCGGUAAUACGGAGGGUGCAAGCGUUAAUCGGAAUUACUGGGCGUAAAGCGCGCGUAGGCGGCUAGAUCAGUCGGGGGUGAAAGCCCCGGGCUUGGCCUGGGAACUGCAUCCGAUACUGGCUAGCUUGGGGAACGGAGAGGGGAGUGGAAUUCCACAUGGUGCGGUGAAAUGCGGAGAGAUGUGGAGGAACACCAAUGGCGAAGGCAGCUCUCUGGGCCGAUACUGACGCUGAGGGGCGAAAGCGUGGGGAGCAAACAGGAUUAGAUACCCCGGUAGUC
rnacentral:rRNA from 1 species